rnacentral:misc_RNA from 1 species
GAUGAAGAACGUAGCGAAAUGCGAUAAGUAGUGUGAAUUGCAGAAUUCAGUGAAUCAUCGAAUCUUUGAACGCACAUUGCGCCCCUUGGUAUUCCAUGGGGUAUGCCUGUUCGAGCGUCAUUUGUACCUUCAAGCUUUGCUUGGUGUUGGGUGUUUGUCUCGCCUUUGCGUGUAGACUCGCCUUAAAAUAAUUGGCAGCCGGCGUAUUGAUUUCGGAGCGCAGUACAUCUCGCGCUUUGCACUCAUAACGACAGCGUCCAAAAGUACAUUUUACACUCUUGACCUCGGAUCAGGUAGGGAUACCCGCUGAACUUAAGCAUAUCAAUAAGCGGAGGA